ACUCAAAUGAAUUGACGGGGACCCACACAAGCGGUGGAACAUGGGGUUUAAUUCGAUAAUAAACGAAGCACCUCACCCAGGCUUGACAUCUAGGGAAUCCGGUCGAAAGAUCGGAGUGCCGCAAGGAACCCUAAGACAGGUGCUGCACGGUCGUCGUCAGCUCGUGCCUUGAGGUGUACUGUUAAGUCAGCGAACGAGCGCAACCCUCAUCCUAUGUUGUUUUUUCAUGGGAGACUGCCGCCUCCAAGGCGGAGGAAGGUGGGGAUGACGUCAGAUCAGCGUGGCCUUUAUGCCUGGGGCAACACCCAUGUUACAAUGGUCCAUACAAAGGGCGGCGAACCCGCAAGGGUAAGCGAAUCCCAUCAAAGUGGAUCUCAGUUCGGAUUGCCGGCUGCAACUCGCCGGCAUGAAGUUGGAAUCGCUAGUAACCGUAAAUCAGCGAUGUUACGGUGAAUAUGUUCCUGGGUCUUGUACACACCGCCCGU
rnacentral:rRNA from 1 species